UACGUAGGGUGCGAGCGUUAAUCGGAAUUACUGGGCGUAAAGCGUGCGCAGGCGGCUUCGCAAGUCAGACGUGAAAUCCCCGGGCUUAACCUGGGAAUGGCGUUUGAAACUACGGAGCUGGAGUGUGGCAGAGGGAGGUAGAAUUCCACGUGUAGCGGUGAAAUGCGUAGAUAUGUGGAGGAAUACCGAUGGCGAAGGCAGCCUCCUGGGCCGAACACUGACGCUCAUGCACGAAAGCGUGGGGAGCGAACAGG
rnacentral:rRNA from 1 species